UCGAAUUAGUCCAACGUUACUUUUUCAAACGUAUUUUUAGACUCCCUUCUAAUAUACUAAACUACGCUUUUUACAUAAAAUCUGGCCUGAGUCCAGUUUACUUAAAAAACCUCAAAGCUAACGCAGAUUAUAUUGUCAUAGUCAUGCGUAGACCUAAUAAUAAUAUUCAGAAAAGGAUUAUUUUGAUAGCUCAACGAGGUCGGUACUCUCCUUUUAAAGACUGGUUUGAUUUGGCAUCAGAAUAAAACGAUCCGUUGUCACUAAAUGAAACAAUGUAUCGAAAAUCAAUAACCCGGGCAAAAGAAUUUGUUACAAGAACAGAUUACUUUAAACUCAACUUAUGUCUCGGUUAUGACAACUAUUUUCGAAACGAGUUUAUUGCCAAUGAGAUAAGUUUAAUCUUUAAAAUGCGUGUUGAAAUGCUUGAGCUCAAUUAUAGACCUCACUGAAAUAAUUUGAAUCCGAAUUGCUCACUAUGUAACCUUAAUCAGGCUGAAAAAAUUUCGCAUUUCUUAGCUUUUUCUCGUAUGGUACAGGAAAUCCGAAGUAAUAUUUUA